rnacentral:lncRNA from 1 species
UUUUGGAACGCGGCCUUUCCAGCAAUCUUACCACGUUUCAUUAAUAAGUUGAGAUCGAACAUUAGUUUCCUCUUUGAUGAUAAUCCUUUUCUCAACAUGAAAUAAGCCACACGAACUAUUUUCCAGAACUUUUUCCCUAUAACUGGCAAUAUUUUUUGAUCCAUUUUCACGUACGGAGAAUUUUUUUAUUUUUUUUGAACUGUGAGUUUUUGUUGGUUAACUUGAGAAGGAGAGACAAAUAUUGAUGAAAGCCAAGAGAGAGCUUUAAUUUAGAGGAGAGUUGUUUGUUAUUGUGGUUUAUGAGAAGCAUUGAGUGAGUGGUAUAUAUAGGGGGAUUUUCAUACAGAGGAAAAGGACGCAGUGAAGUAUUCUAUAUAUUUUUAAGUAGACACGUUUGGGCACGGAAUAGACCACGUAUAUUACUUGUUGAGAUUCAAUUAUACUAUUGCUUCAAUUAUUAGAGGAGGAAGUAGUCUUUAAAGUCACUGUCACCCAUGCUUUUCACGUGAAUUAAUUGCAAAUUUGAGGCCAAUAGCAAGUAACCUCUAUAUUAUUUUCUUAAUACCAAACACACUCUUUUAAGUCUUUAUGGUCUGCAAGGAAAAGGAGUAAAGGCAAAAAAGGGGGUGGUGGGGCCUGAAGGUACAGUUAUCCAAAUGUGACAUUCAAAUUAUUGAAGAAGGCGUUUGAAAUGUAACAAACAAUUUCUAAAAAUAACUGCAUAUUCAGUGUGAGUAGAGGAUAUAAUUAUGUGUCUUCAAAUCUAUUCUAUGGUACAACAAUAAUUGUUAAAGAAAGAUGAGGAUGAAUAUGCAAGACGUUACAUAUUAAAAGGUCUCUAGCUUUUAAAUUUUUUAACAGUUUGAAAACUCCUCGGUUCAUUUUUAUCUAUCAUUAGACUUUGAUCAAUAUUUUACGUUAUAUUUUUUUAUAAUAUUAAUAUAAGAAUGAAUAUCAUUUCUUGUAGUUUUCGAACAUUUAAAAUAUUGAAUGUAAUAUAAUUUAAUUUAGCUUCAAAAUUAAUCAUAUUAAUUCUUAUUAAGUGAAAUAUAACAAGUAAAAAUAGACGAAAAAAUAUCAUACAAAUGUACAUAAGAGAGAUGAAGCAAGUCCCACGUGUCUUCAUAUAAUAAUUCUAAUUACACCUCUAUUAUUUACAUGUCAAUCAGCUAAAAUGGGGCCAAUAAUUAAAAUUCCUUCUAUAAAUCAUUAAAUUAUGACUGAUUUGUUCUUUUUGCAUCUGAACAUUCACCUUAAGCGUAACACGAAACUUAAUUAAUGAUAUUAAACAAGUGCUUACGUAACUUAAUUGAUAAAAUCAAAUUAAUUAGUCCAAUAAUUUGAUACGAUAUUUUUCUAGAAUGCAUAUAAUUUGUCAUGUGACCAUAACGUUGAACUACUCUUAUAAUCACAUUUUCUCUUGGACUAGAAGGAAAUACAAUAUGCUUUACUUCAACUUAUAAUUAUUUCUAAUUUCUCUUUUUUGCUUUUCUUAUUUUCAAUUAAAAAAAAAAACGUAACAAGAACACAACAAUCGAACUAAGAGAGAAUUUUUGUAUUUCAGGACUACUAGCUACUCACAGCUUUUAAUGUAUUCUUUAUGUGUAAGUUUUAAAGUUUGACACAUUUGGGCACGGAGCAAAUUAUAGAACUUCUAAAUAAACAAAAAUUAGAAAGUAACUCCAAAAGCAAAAGCAAAAGCCAUACCCAACACAAAAGAAAAUUCAGCUACUUUUGCUGGAAGAAAGAGGGAUACAAAAGAAGUGGUCAAUUAUUAUAAUCUUACCUAAAUUCGUAAAUCAAAUUUGUCUUUACAAUUAUUUUUCUUAAUUAAUUUUCUAAUGAUAAAGCAUAUCUUAUACUCUUAAGAAUUUCUUUGAUUCACUAUUGGCUCCCAAAAGUUCAAUUAAGUUUUGAAUAUUCAAGCAACCCAUGAGUUCUAUAUACUUGCAAAUAAAGUUUGAGAAAAUAAUAACAAUGUGUUAUUAACUCCCUCACUUUUUCAACUACGAGUAUUCUAACCCACAUAGUUUCAACAAAACAUUUUCCAGCAAAUACGUAGAUAAAUAUGCAAUAGAGUUUGAUGAGUUGAAACAACAAAAAUCAACCAUCUAAAAUGCAAAUAAUAGUCUUUUAUAAGAGAUAAAAAAACAUACUAGACAAAUAUAAGGGAAAAUAUCGAUACCACAAUUCAAUAGACUUUUCAAAUUAAAAUAUCGAUGUUUCAAUUUUCCCUAACAAAAUUAUUGCAAAAAUAUAAACCUAUUAAUAGUUGUGUCCACGACCGGGGUGGCUCAAGGGACAUGAGGUAGUAAAAAAAACUUUAUUUUAGGACAUCUACAUUUUGAGAGCUUUAAAAAAUUUAAUAGUUAAUUUUGUGAAGUUAAUUUUUCUUUGAUAAUAUUAAUGAUUGUAAAAUAACAAGUCCAAAAUCUAAAUUAAAAAAAGGAAAACUAUGUAUAUAGAAAUAUUUUAAAAUUUUAAAUUAAAUUACUCAAAUUUUCAUAAUAAUAAAUAAUGUUUUUAUAAUAAUAUUCAAGUAUUAUAUUGAGAACACAUGACUAAUAUCGUGUUAUUUAAAUUAUUCUUUAUUUUAUAAGUAAUAAUUUUACCAUGUAAAUUAUUAUCAUAGAUUAAUACUACACUAAAAAUCAUAACUAUGAAAAACCAAGAAAAGGUAAUACAAAUUUUUUUUUAUAUAUGUCUAUAUACCUACUGCAUACUAAAAUUUGAUUUUAGAUCACUAAUUUUAUUAAAAUAAUAAUACAUAAAAUUUAAACAUGCAUAACAAAAAUUUACACUAAAAGCUAACAUCCAAAAAUCCACAAGAGCACCUUAGAAAAAAUGCAAGCAAGAGUAUCAACUUGUAACUUGCAUUGAGACAGUGUAUUAAUGUUUCUUAUUUUGGCGUUUGUUCAAAUUAGAUGACAUUAUAUUUACCUCGAUAGUUUUGAAUAUUUUAGAAUCAGUUUUAAGUUCUAACUCGUAAAAGUAUUGCAAAUUUUUUACUUGAAUAUUGAAUAUGAAACAAAUUAUUAUCAAAAUUUAAAAGAAAUCAACUAUUAAGUAGGUUUUCAAUAUCACAAUCAUUAUAACAAAUAUAUGCUUCACGGUUCAUUAAAACAAGUUAUGAUUAUUCAGAGAAACAUAUGGAUUCUGAAUCUAUUGAGAUGACUCAAGAAUUUUGCUCAUUCGAUUACGUUAGUCUUGGACAGAUUUCGUCAACGAAAUUUUUCGAUGAGCUUUCUGUUAAACAUUAUAUAAACGUUUUCUCUCAUGUACGAUGUACGGAUGGUUUUGCUUCUGUCAUUUGCCAAUUGCGGCAAUUCUCUGGCUAGAAUAAUUUUUGCAAAUAUUGCCAUGAAAAUCAUAAGUGAAAUCUGAAACUUCCCAGUGUCAUUUUUUACCUAUAUGGUCAAAAGUGGGAUAUUUUUAAAAUUUUCUCUUAGACAUGUGCAAGAAUCCAAAUAUGUAUUUAGACCAAAUUAACAACUUAAGCUAAAAUUGAGGGUUUGAUACUGUGAAAUUCCAAAAAAAGAAAAUUUUGUUUUACAUGAAACAAAAAAAUAAUCCAAACUCCCAUUAAGGUAGGUUUGAUAGGCGGGUAACGUUUAAUUAACUCCGAUUCAAUUAUGAAUUUUAGAUUAGAUUUUUAUCUUGGCAAAGGAAUAAACUUAACUUUCUAAUUUGUCCUAACCGCGUUUAAUAUAAUAGGCUUUAUUUUAACUUUUAAGGAUUUCUAAUUUAGCAUUUUACUCCUCUUAAUUAUUUUCAAGUUAAAAAAACUCAAGUGUAACAAGUAGUCGACGAUUAAAUUGAGAGUGAAUUAAUGUGAAUGCAGAAUUUCAGGACUACUCACAGCCUUGAAUGUAUUAAUUAUGGGACGAAAUUACAAAUUAUCAUCACCUUUAUAAACUCUAAAUUUUUUAUUUUUUUUUUGAGUUUCUCCUCUAAGAAAUUCUGGAAUAUCACAACAAAAAAAUUAAGCAAAGGUGGAAGCUUCUCUUCUCAAAUCUCUGUAGAAUCGAGAAAUGAAUUCAUCAGCUUUUUCGUCUACGUGGUUGAUCAUUUCACCGUUAUCAGUAUCUGAUGUUAGAGGAAAAGGCGAGUCAGUGAUUCUUAAUUGCCUCACCGUUGGAGUCCUUCCAAAUCCAGGCAAAGCAGGUGAUGCUGUUUCGCUCUGAAGCAUUUCUAAUGCCUUCAAAACAGCAGCGUUCAUCAUUGAAACGUCGUCGUGUUCAGGCUUACUAAUGCGCUUGUUGAUGUUGAAGGGGAGGUGAAAAGCCGGGCUGUUACUGCAGCUGAACUCGUAAUACUCUUUUGAAGUUGAUUGAUGAAUAUUAUUAUUAUUAUGGCCCUGGAACAUCAGAUUUUGGAAGGCGGCUUUGCCAGCUAUCUUACCACGUUUCAUUAGUAAAUUGAGAUUGAACAUUAGUUUUCUCUUUGAUGAUAAUCCUUUUCUUAGCAUGAAGUAAGCCACACGGACUAUCUUGUAGAACUUUUUAGCUACAACGGGCAAUUUUUGAUCCAUUUCUCUGUCUAAAAAUUCACGUAUAGACUUUUUUUUAUUUAGUGAUUGUGAGUUUUUGUUGGUUCACAACUCACAAGAAGGAGAGACAAUUAUUGAUGAAAGCUAAAAGAGAGGAGAUGGAGUUUGGUGUGGUUUUAUGAGAAGCAAUGAGUGAGUGGUAUAUAUAGGGGGAUUUUCCUAAAGAGGAAGAGGACGCAGUGAAGUAUUCUAAUAUAUUUUUAACUUUUUAGAAUUGACACGUACAUUUAGGCACGGAAUAGACCACGUAUAUUACGACGACUUGAGAUUCAAUAUUAUAUUGCUUCAAUUAUUAGAGGAGCUGAUUUUCUAGAUCCAGAGUCCUUUUAAGUCACUUUCAAAGAUUUUUCUCCCUCUCCUUUCACAUGAAUUAAUUGCAAAUUUUACUAUAUUAUUUUCUUAAUAGCAAACAUACUUUAUGGUGAAAGGAAAAGGAAGAGAGAGACUAAAGAAGGUAAGUGGAAAAAAAAGGGCUUGAAGGUACUCAAUCAUAGAGGAAGGAGUUUGAAAUGUAAGUUAAACAAAACACAACAAACAAUUUAAAAAAAAAAUGCAUAUUUAGUAUUGAGUAGUGGAUAUAAUAAUUAUGUAUGUCCUAAUCCAUUCUAUGGUACAUUAAUAAUUGUGAGAAAGAUGAGGAUGAAUAGGCCAAAUUUAAAGGUCUCCAGCUUUUACAUUAAUUAACACAUUUUCUGAGAUUGUAUAUGGCAGUAUUGUACUUCACGAUUUUAAAUUGAGAUCAAUGAUCGUUAUUUUUAGUAUUCUUCGUAUAGUUAAUUUUGAAUAUUUAAAAUUUAAUUUAAUCAAAUUAAUUCUUUUAAUAUUAAAUAUGAAAAGUCAUUAAAGAAAGUAUUAUCUCAUUAAACAAAUCCUACAAGAAUUCCACAAGUUUCAUAAGAGAGAUGAGUGUGCUGCCUUGGCUCAAUUAAUUUCAAUAGCGUACGAGUGCAAGUAACCCUUCAUAGGAGAAAAAUCCACGUGGCUUCAUUAUGGCCUAGUAAUUACAUUUACACCUCUAUUAUUUACAUGUCAAUCACCUAAAAUGAGGCCAAUGAUUAAAAUUUAUUCUAAUAAUCAUUAGAGCUUUGAUUGAUUGUUCUUUUCAGUUUAUCCAAUUUCACCCGGACAUUCUAACGAAGAACUUAAUUAAUGAUUUUAAACAGGUGCUUAAGAAAUUUAAUCGAUCAAAUUGAUUGACUAUAGAAAGCUCCUUGUAAUUACAUCCUUCACUAAAUACAAUAAUAUAAUUUUUUAUUUACAAGUUUAGACUUUGGCUUUUAUAGGUUUUAUAAUUUGAAUGUACAAUGGUUAUUUACAUCAGAGGUCCAAAAAUAACUAGGUCCAUUUUAACCGGAUCAAAUACAACUUAAUUUACUCUUCAAUAAUUUAGAAUAAAAAAAUCACUAAUAAAUGUUUCAAUUUUCAAAUUUGAACUUGUAAUAUAGAAGUACAUUUGAUAACAAUUGAACCUAUUUAAUUUAAAUCUUGAAUACCUCAAGAAUUACUUUUCUUUUAUAAAAAGUGUGCAUGCAUAAAAUUAGGCAGCUUUAUUUAUGAUUAUUAUUGCCCACUUACGUAAAAAAAAAGUACUACAAAUUGUAAGACUUCUAUAAAUAAACUCAAAAGAGAAAGCAACUCUAGAAGCAAAAGCCAUACCCAACACAAAAGAAAAUUCAGCUUCUUUUGGCCCGGGGAAAGAGGGAUACAGAAAAUUCAGCAAUUUUCACAUAUAGCAAAUAUAAAAAUUAUAUUUGUGUGUUGUAGCUAUAGUUAAUUUGCAUAAUUGCGCUUCAUAGCAAAUUUUAUGUUUGCUAUGGAGCUUUUGAUUUGUAUAAUUUGCUACAAACAUCCAAUUUUAUACAAAUUGUUUAGUUUUGUAUAAAUUCAUUUAUACAUUGUAAUUUAUAUAAUAAGAUAUAUAUUUGUAUAAUUAUAAGUGUAUAAGACGAAAAUAUAUGUAUUUGUAUUUGUAUAUACAUUUUUCUCUCGCUUUAUACAAACACACACGUUUUAUACAUUUUAUACCGAAAUGUAUAAAACAACUAAUUGUAUAUCGAAUCAGAUGGCAAAAAAAGUGGAUGUUUGCUGCGAAUUACAAUUAAAAUAAACUAUGGCUAUAUCAUUUAAUUUGAAUUAAUAGUUUGUUAUUUCAUACAAUUUUCCCUUAUUAAAUUCCACAAAUCUAAUUUCUCUUUACUUUUUUUUUCUUAAUUAAUUUGCUAACAAUAAAGACAUAUAUUAUUAGUAAAGACUCACUUUGAUUCAGUUGGCACCCAAAAGUUCAAUUAAAUUUUGACUAUUCAGGCACCCCAAAAUUUCUUUACUUGCAAAUAUAAAGUAUGAGAAAAUAUUAUAAAGUUGUUCCAAGUUCAAACCCACUCAAAACGUGACCAUGUACCAUGCUAUUUGUUGCGCCGUAAUUUGACUAUUUCUUUAGAAAAAAUCACUUUUUGAAAUGUUCUAAGUAUAAAAUAAUUUGAAAAAUACUUAGAAAGAGUCGCCACUUAAUUUUUUAAAGAAAUUAAGAAAACUUAUAAAUUUCAAAGAUUUAAACAGAAAAAAUCAUUGAAAAUACCAAAGAAGGUUCGAGGUUCAAUUUACACUUCGAGAAGGGUUUAAGCAUUCGAAGUGUCCGCUAACAUGCGGUUGACCUGCGACUUGACUAAAAUAUAUUUGACUAUUUUUUAGAAAAAAUAAUGAUUUAACAUAAAAAAUAAUAACUUACAAUAUAUUCGAUUAACUUUGAGAAAAUAAUUAAAUAAAUGACUCAUUUUAUUUCAUUUUCAUUUUUUAGAGAAAGGGGUCAAAAAUGAAAUACUUGGCUUGAAAUAAAAGUGAUUAGAAUAAAACUAGAUUAAUUAGAAUUUAUUUAAUUCAUUUUAAAAUAACUUAAACCAAUUUAAUAUAUUAAAGCAUGAAGAUCAUUUUAAAUUAAUUGAAGAAUAAAAGUUUUGACUAACGAGAAAAUGACUUAAGUAAGUAUUUAUAAUAAUAUUUUACAUUAUAAGAUUAACUAAAAAAAAAUAGUUAGAUAAAGAAUAAUUUUUAAAUUUUUGGAAAAUUGGAUCUUAAUUGAAACAACUUGGUCAAUUAGGACUUUAACAAAAUUAAAAUUUAUUUACGUCAUUUUUUAGAAAUAAUAAUUUGAACCAACUUGGUAGACAAACCAAGACACUAUUUUAAUCUAAUUAAAGAUAAGUGAAAGUUUUUGACUAAAAAUAUUUGAAUAAGCAUAAGAGUUGAUAAAAUGAAUUUUUUUUAAAGAAACUAACAUAAAGAAAAUGGUUUAUCUUUUGGGGAAUUUAAUUAAAUUAAGUCGCAAAUAAAAAAAAACAAAUAAAUAAAUAAUCACACAAUUAAAUAAGUUAGAAAUUGAAUUUGGGCCUCCUUUUUGGGCCAAUUUCGCUGUAAUUUCUGGGGAUUUACUCAAUCCCGUUUUUGGUAUACAGCUGAUGUAUAUCAGUGUAUAUCGGCAUGUAUAUCAGCCCUUUUCAGGUAUUUCCUGCUUCCAAACAUAUGUAUUCCGCCUCAGCCCUGUGUUUUUACGUUUUGGGCCUGAAUAUCAGCGUAUACCGCUGUAUACAACAUGUAUACAACCCACUUUCGACUUUUCGGGACCUGUAAUUUAACUUUCCGGCAACUUGAACAAGAUGAGGCUGACUCGAAAUAAUUCAUCGAUAUGCAAGGGUGGAGUCGUAAGAGAACUCAGAUUGAUGUCACAUAUAACAAAGAAGAAGAGAAAAAACAAAGAAGAGGAUUAGUGUCUAUACUUGUACAAAUUAAAAAUAGAACAACACAUCAUCCAUGAAGUCAUUAUCAUGAUCUUACUGCCCAAGAUAGAAAAAGAACAAUGCAACAAGAGAAAUGAAUUGUAGAGCACCAAGAAUCAAUUGUAAUUUAGUGCUACACUACCUAUUGGACUUAAAAUUAAGAGACAAUUAAAUGACGAAAACAAAUUAAACAAGUAGGAGCAUUAAUUCUUACUACUUUCUUCACUGGAACAAGACCAAAAUAAAAUCACGUGAAUACCAAAUCAGUCCAUAUAUACAUCACCAAAGGCAUGCUUGACAAGGGUAACAAUUCAAUACAUGCUAACGGGAAUGCUUGAAUCGCAUAAAAAUGAAUUAGGAACGGACAUACAAUGACUCUAACACAUACUCAAAACAACUACUAAUAUAGCCAAAAUAAUUGUAGAGAAAGAGAGAGCAAGCAUGUGAACUCCUACAUGUUGGACCGAGAAGGGAGCAACCUAAGACAUACUCUUAAAAUGCGACGAAAAACUCAUUGAUUCGGAUAAGAGUCAGUGAGUUAAAGCCUUUAUCACAAUCUAGCCUAACCAAACACAUACUAGUCAAAAUAAAUGUUGACUCUAGCUUAUUCAUAGUUAGGCAAGAAAUAAAAAAAAAUAAAAAAAAUCAGACAAUAACAAUUAAAUCUUCAGCAAAUGGGCUACUGCUACAUCACCAAAAAUAGCUAAACAAUAUACAAAUCAUGCUAAGAAAUAUACUUUCCAAAGAGACCAACAAGAUGACAAAUCUUAAGGCAGCACAACAAUUCCUAAUUAAUAUACAACAGCAUAGCAUAUGCUUCAGCCUUGCAACAAAAUCAUUCGAUGCCUACAUAUAUAUUUGAAUGCUAAGACCGAGAACAAAUGAGCAACCACCUCUAAUACGUACCCAACUCUCGAUUAACCAUGAGAAGUCAAACACACUCAAGCGAUCUCAAAAUCAAGAAAAAAAAUCAGCCGAUAUGAACAAAUACAAUUUAUUCGAGAAGAAAGGAAGAAAAGUAAGAACAAGGAUAUUACCUUUCCCGGAGCAGCGAUACUAGAAACAAUGAGCAGCGGAGAAUACCGACUUCUUCUCCCACGAACUUCGAACACAAAUAGCAGGCUGAGAAAAUCCGAGCGGCGGGAUAUCCUCGAAAAUUAGAAUCAGAAAGCUAAAUAUAUCGUUUUGAAGUGCAAAAAUGACUAUUGCCUCGGAACUAAGCUUAAAACUUGUCAAAAAAUCCCAUUUUCCCAAAAAACUCUCUCCUCCUAAUUGUGACCCAAAGAGACGAAUAUAUAGACGGAAAUUAGUGUGAAACGAUUGUAAUUUGAAUUUUGAAUUGCUCUUUUCGAAGCAACAGUGGAGAGAUUCAGAAAUCUCUGAAAAGGGGACGUGAGAGUAGUUGGACGUUGCAAGCGAGGAGGACGACAACUUUUCUCCGGAUUUGCCGGAUUGAUGCGACUGGGCGCUGGAUUUCCGGGAUUCUUGGCGUGAAGAAGAAACGCGAUGGGGUCGGUUUGGUUUCGUGAAAGAAGAAGAAGACGCAGGGGUUGGGUCUGGUAUGCUGUAUUGUGGGUUGCUAUUGUAAUGUUGUUUGGAAUUGAUGUAUGGGUUACUGGAAAUGGGCUGGGAUAUGAAGUGGGAUAGUGGAAAUUGGGCCUGGGUUUGUAAUUAGGAAUUGGAUUGGCUAAAUUUGAGAGGAAAAUUCCCAAAACUUGGUCUUUUAAUGAGUUGGAGCAAGGUGAUGAGAUGGCUAGAAUUGCAAUAAAAGGGUAGGCAAAUAAAUUAACAAUCUAGCCAAAUUGAAUUCUUUUAGUUAAUUCGGCUAGUAAUUAAAUAAGACGAAUUAAUAUAAUUAACUAACGAACUUCUUAAUCUCAACAAAAUAAAAUAAUUAACUCAAUUAUAACUAAUAACUCGAAAAUAUAAACUAUUAAAUAAACUAAUUAAUCAAAUAUUUAAAUAAAACUAAAAUCUUUUUUGGGACGAUUUUUGAAUAUUUAUAAAAUAUACCCAUUAUAUACAUAAUUAUAUAAGAUAUGUUUACCAUUUAAAAUAUCAUAAAAGGUGACAAAACUAUUUAAAAUAACUUGCAAAAUAUUUUGAAUUUUUAUUAAGUCAAUUAUUUUAACUCGUUUGGAAAUUAAGAAGCUCAAUGAUUAAUUUAUAUUGUGGACGUCCAAAAUUGGGUGUCAACACUAUUAACUAAACAUGUGACAAUCUAAAAGAUAACAAGAAGUGUAAGGUUUUAAUUCUUGUUGAAAUUAAAUUUAUUAUUCAAUUUUUAUAUCUAAAUUUUUUGAAUUUUAUAGUUUCUUAGCUAGCUGGAAAGCACAUCUGUUAAGCUAAGCUUGAUCUAAUAAAAUGAGUAAAGUUGGUUUCAUUAAAACAAAAUCAUUUUUUAGUACCAAUAAAUAUGCACAUGGUUAAAAAAAGUAUUAAAGUCUUUAUUGACAUUAGUUAAUCGCUAUUGAAUUCAAUAUCACUAUAGAUUUUAAUAUCAUUUAUUAAAAAUAUUAAAAUAUAAUAGUCACUAAUAAUUAUCUUUAAGAAAUAUAUUUAGCGGUAACUAAGUUUUAUUUACUUUCUCUCGAGCUAGGUCCUUCAAACGUAUGAUGUUAUUAUUAUAUUUAGAACCGUCCUUUAAAGGCUGCUGAAGGUAGGCAAAGUCAACGACCUUUUUGAUUUGUCAAACUUGCGGUUAUUCAUCUUUUUAUUUAUUUCAUGUCAAAUUAUUUGCCUAUGCUUUUAUUAUCGCGUAUGAAAUUUCUUUUCCACAAUUAAAACCAACCUAUGCUUUUAUUUCUGCAUGCAGAUGUCAAAAUCUAAACUUGGUUAGGUCUUAUUACCAAAAGAUAUUGGAAUACAAUUUUAAUACUUCAAGCUAGGAUUAGUGGUAAUUGGUAAACUUGUAUUGGAGUUCAUUCAUUUCAUUCUACAACUCUCCCUUCAUUCUGAUUUUUUCUUCUUUGUAUUUUAAUAUUUUGUUUGAGAAAAAAACAUAGGAAAAUUAGAUAUGAAAGAAUUUUUGGAAUUGUAUAUUCAAUAUGAGUUGUAUUGCUAAAGACAAGGGUAUAUAAUUGAAUAGACUAAAACUCUUAAGUUAGGUUAAAAACUAAGCAAUUUCAAACAAUAUAAGAGAAAUUGAUAAAUAUAUAUAAUAUUUACCAAUUAUUUUAGUUUAAUUGAUAUCUCGAUAUUUUAGUCCCUGGUGGCUAGUAUCAAAAUAAAUAUGACCUAUUAAAGGCUUGAAAAUACUACUAAACUCAAAGGACCAUGUCUUGAAAAUGUUGAUAAGGAAAUGUGUUAUCAUAGCCUACACAAUUUGGGUGGACAAUAAGUGAAUGAAAUUGGAGAAGACUUCAUCAUUAACAUAUGUAAAUAGAUUUUUCAUCAUCAAUUAUGACGAUUAAAUCUACUGAAUUGGUGAUGAUAAAAAUGUAUACAUCAGUUAUUUGCUGGGAAAAGAAAUGGUGACGACUUAAAGAAGAAGAUAGUAAAGUCUUUGUUUCAAGUCUCAAAAAAUUAGGAGCACCAAAUUAACAGUAGAAAUAUUUUGAUCUUUAAAUUAAACUAUUCAAAUCUUUAUAUUGUUAAAUAAUAUUUUUAUCAUAAAAUCCAAAGUAAUAUAUUUCUAACAUAUGACUGAUAUCUUACUAAUUUGAAAUAUUCCUAAUAACAAUACUAUCUCAAAGAAGAUGAAACUAUAAAAGAUCAAAGAAGAUGAAACUAUAAAAGAAAAAAGGAAAAUUUGAAUAGGAGAAUUAGCUACACUAUUGAAGAAGACUUCUUGAAUUUGGUUGAAUUGUUUUGAAUUGAAAUGAUUAUAAAUGUGCAAGAUCAUCUUUGUUUAUAGAUGAUUUUUUGAAAGAAUAUUAUUGACACCAAAUAUAAAAAACUAACAAAUUAUCAAUGUUUCAAUAUCUUUCCUAACAAUUAUUUAGUCAAAAUACAUAUUCACUAGUAGUUGUGUCGAUGACCAUAAGAUUAGGAGUCUUACGCUCUAUUAACUGAGUUGGUCGAUACUUUAGAAACAACUAGACGUCUCCAUUCAAUUUAUGUAUUUUUCUUAUAUCUUCAUGUAAUUGUUUGCAUAUCAUACAGAUCAAGAGCAUUGUGUAAAAUUUUCACACACAUGUGAAACGUUUUACACUAAAUCCGCCAAAUUAUGUUCUUCUAAUUUUAUAUGUUUUUUUUAAUAAAAAGAACAAAAAAAAACUACUAAAAGUUACAUAUUUUUUUCAAGCAAUUUGUUAAGAUUGAAUUAAUAAAAAUAUAUCUUACUUUUUAUGAAUGGAUAGUUCUCUUUUGAGGUAUAUCUAAGCUAAAAAUCGACUUAUUUUUUAGCCAAAAAAAGUAACAAUACACAUAAAAAUGAAAUUAGAAAAAUAUACUUGAUUUUAUAAAUUGUUAUUCAUGUGCAUGCCUCAUCCUUUUUCUAAUUUAAUACUUUCCACUAAAGUCAACUAAUACACGAAAAUAAAACAUUAUCUAGAUAAUUCAGUAAAUAGAUUAAUUUCAACAAAUUAAGACACAAAUUAAUUUCUUGUGCCUCUUUAUUAUUUUGAAGAAAAUAAGUUAAGGUGGUUGUUUGUUUAUACGUAUAAUCUACUUCUUCAAUAAAGUUCUUUUAAUUAAAAGAGUCAAAGUCAAUGAUUCUUUUUUAAAAGUAAUCAGGAUAUUAAGAAAUUGUAAAUAUGUAUCAAUAUGAUCUACUUCUUCCACAAAAUUCUUAUACUUAUGACAUAUUAUUACAAUUAGGAUUGAUAAUAAAAGAGGUUCAUGUCUUAUCUUUCUAGAUAAAAACAAGGGUGAUGAGACCAAAAAUCAAGAGAGUUAGCUUCUUCUUUUUUUAGUUUAUACCCUUCCUCAGCCAAAACGAGAGGGAUAUUUAUACAAAUUUUCUCUUUGACAUGGUGCAAGAAUCUAUGUGUAAAUGAAUAAUUGAAGCUAAUUUUGGGCGUGUGAAAUAGUCAAAACGAAAUUCUAAAUAAAUUAAUUUGAAUUAUAUAUUCUCGUGGCUCUCACAGGAAUAGACUUAACUUGUUAAAUGCUAACCGAAAUCAGUAUAAAUAAGAAUAUAAUAUGCUCUAUUUUUAACUUUCACCAAUUUCUAAUUUAGCAUUUUGCUCCGACCCUCUAAUUCUCAAUGAAGUACCAAAAAAAGAAAAAGAGUAACAAAUAGUCGACAAUCAAAUUAAGAGUGAACCUGAUGGAUGCAAAAUUUCGCAACUUAAGCCUUGAAUGUAUUAGCCAGCGAAGCCAUAAUAAUUAAGAGUUUGGGGUUUUAAAUUUCGUAAAUAAACCGUCAAUCAAUUUUGUUAGAAUUUAUAAAUUAAUAUACAUAUAAAUUUAAUUAAUUCUCUAGUACAAGUAUAGGGUCUUAGGAAAGCUACUGGAUUCGUCCGAACCCAUGAAGUCCAGCCUAGCUCCGUCACUUGUAUUAGUUAUAGGAUGAAACUUCAAAUUAGCUUAAGGGAGGAUAUCAUCGAUUACCUUUAUAAACUCUUAACAUUAUUUUCUUUUUCGAUCUUCUCUUCUAAAAGUUUACCGAAUACCUUAACAAGGAAAAAAACUCAUAAACAUUAAGCAAACUCUUAAAUAUUCUUAUGUCAUUUUCACCCAUCAAAGAAGCAAUAGUAUUUUUCAACACAAAAAUUUAAAAGUAGAGUGGCUGUUAUACCACUGUUCAUCUCUUUCCUGCCAAGACUUGCCCAUACUUACCCACUCCCUUUUAGAAAUUAAGUGGCCUGGAAAGUAUAGUACAUACACUUUCUAUUUUACAAUUAUUAUAAGACUACAAAAGUGAAAAUUACUCUCCAAUAAGAAGAAAAAUAAGUUUUUCUUUUUCUUUUUUCUGUUUUAGAGUUUAUUUACAUAAAAAAAAAUCCACAAAUCAAAUUUCCCUUCCACUUUUUUUUUCUUUGUUCUUUUUUUGUGCUGCAAUUUUCUAUUGAAACAGACAUAUAUGCUAUACACAAGUGUAGGGAAAAAAGAGUUAGACUAUUAGGAGCGGAAUUCAACUUUUGAAUAUUUACUAUAGUUAGAAGCUAGGAGUAUCAUUUAGAGUACCCUUUUUAAGUUAAAGAUUUAAAGUGACUUCACUUAUCCAAAAUACAAACUCCUAAUUAGUGUGAAUAUAUAUAUAUAUAUACAUCUGGCAUUCAUCCUCAUCUUUUUUUACACAAUUAUUGUUGUACCAUACAAUGGAUUAGGAGACACAUAAUAUUAUCCACUACUGAUCAUUCUUGUCCUGGAACUGUCAAAAAGACCUUGUCCAUGCAUUUUACUUGAAGUAUAUUUAUGCAAGAAAUUACUAAAAAGUCACAUUUUUUCAGAAACUUAUUAAGAAGAAAUUAAUAAAAAUACAUCUUAUCUAUGAAAAAAUCAGAUAUGCGAAAGAAUUGUUGGAAUUGUAUAUUUAUGCAAGGGCAAAUAUGAGUUGAAUUGCUAAAAAUAAGUGUAUAAGUAAACUAAACUUGGUAUUUGACCUAAAGGUGUAAACACCGUGGCCUGCAAAGUCUUGGUAUGAACACCAAAAGCAAAUUGCAAUAAAGAUAGAGAAUUGAGGUUAUUUUUUGGGUGGGGUUAGGGGUUCACGGAGUAGUGCUCAAUUAUUGAACUCUUAGAAUUUUUCACAAAAUAAAUACACAUUUUUCCUAUUUUCUUUUUCUUUAAUAUUUUUUAAAUUAUGUAGUUUAAUUAUAUACUACUAAAAAAUAUUGGACCCUAAGAAAAACAAUACAAAGUCAAUAAACUCACUCAAUAUAUAUGUGACGAUGUACCAUUCAAUUUCCGAAACGUGGCACAAUCUGAAAGAAAAACAGGAAGUAUAAGUUAUGUUAUUUUAGAAUUAUUUCUUCAACCUAGCAGAAAAAGUACUUGAAUUUAAUCUAUGAAAAUUGAAGCUCUUUAAUGCGUUGUAAGAAUCAAGGCUUGUAUUUUUUUUAUUCGUGAAAAUGAAGGAAGAAAAGGCAAUACAUAUAAUUUAUAAAGCCAUACAAACACGCUGAUCAUGUACCAUGCAAUUAUUUGUGAAUUAAACUUGGCAUAAUCUCAACGAAAACAAGUAGUACACGUUUUUUCUACUUCUUUAUACUUUUUAAAAUAAAAACUACUUCUUCAACUUUAAUUUCAGAUAACAUAUAUUUGAAUUUCACAAUUUCUUUGUCUAGAAGAUAUUCAUAAAAAUUGUUAAGUAAAGCUAGAUCUAUCCUAUAAAAUAAAGAUGAGAGUAAUGAGUAUCAUUUAGAGUAUCCUUUUAGUUAAAGAUAUAGAGCGACUGCACCUAUCUAAACAAUCUCCUAAAUGUGAAUAUAUACAAUGGCAUGCAUAUUAUUGUUGAACUAUAUAUAGAAUGGAUUAGGAGGCACAUUGUUCAAAUACAAAUUAGUUCAUUAGUCAGUUAACUAGUUAACAUUGUUUGCACUAGUUAGUUAACACUGUUUGCACUAGUUAGUUAACGGAUUAGUUGGUUGCUCAACUAUGAGCUGUCAAUAAUUAGUUAGUUUGUUAUCUCAAUUCCUAGCUAUAAAAGCACAAGUUAAGAGUCACACUUUGUAUGUUGUUGCAGUUAAACAUCAAUAAAAUUCUCCCCUUUCUUCUUCAGUUUUCUGUCUAGAUUCAUCAAUGAACUGAUGAGCUGAUUUGCUCACAGUUUUCACAUGGUAUCAGAGCUCUGAGCAAUUGAUGUUGGUUGUGUAUGAGCAGAAGUUUUAGACGAGAACAGAAUCUUCUUCUUCAAUAGUUUUUUUUCCUUUUGAGCAUUCAUCAAUGGCGCCUAAAAUCGAUCAAAACGAUCCUCUGUACAUCGGACCAUCAGACGCUUCAGGAGCUGUAGUAAUUCCCAUAAAAUUGACUAGAUCAGAGAACUAUGGGAUCUGGAGCAGGUCGAUGAGGAUUGCACUUUUAGGGAAGAGAAAGUUUGGUUUUGUGACUGGAGCUUGUACUAGAGGAUUGUACAAGGAUGAGCUUCAUGAACAAUGGGAAACAUGUAAUGCGAUUGUAUUGUCUUGGCUGAUGAACACUUUUAGUGAUGAUCUACUCAGUGGAAUCGUGUAUGCAACUACUGCAUUUUCAGUUUGGGCAGAUUUGAAAGAGCGAUUUGACAAGGUGAACAGAAUGAGGAUCUAUCAGCUGCAUAGGGAACUCACCACACUCACACAAGGUACAGAUUCUGUAUCACAUUAUUUCACUAAAUUGAAGACAUUAUGGAGUGAAUAUGAUGUUGUGGUACCAAAUCCCUGUUGUACAUGUCCUCAAUCGAAAGAUUAUGCUGAUCAUCUGCAGCAACAGAGGUUAAUUCAGUUUUUAAGUGGUUUAAAUGACUCUUAUGAUCAAGCUAGGAGACAGAUCUUGUUGAAGGGAACUACACCUUCCAUUAAUCAUGCUUAUGCUAUGGUUAUUGAAGAUGAGAUUCAACAUUCAUCAGUUGUUGUUAAUGUAGUAGAGAAACCAGAAUCAAUAGCACUUAAUGUGAACAAAAAUCAAGGAAGAGAGUAUUACAAAGGGAAGAGGUGUGACUUUUGUCAUUUCACUGGUCACACUAAGGAGAAUUGCUACAAGUUGAUUGGUUACCCAGAGGAUUGGAAGCAAAGGAGAAAGUCAGGAUCAGGCUAUGGAAAUGGCAACACACGCAGUACAUCAAACUCUACCAGUGGAGGUGGUUAUGGUAGACAGUAUUCUACUAAUUAUGUGAAUUUGAGAAAUGCAGGACACUCUAAUGACUAUGGAGGACAGAACUCAACAAACAAUGCAUCUGGUAGCCAUUGUGAUUACUCUCAAGGGACUUUCACUAAUCAAGAUGAGAGCAGGGCUUUCUUGGCAAAAGGUCAUGCACUCACAGACCAUGAAUACAAGCAGAUACUAAACAUGUUAAACAAAGAAGGACAGGACUCUAAGCAGGUCAACAUGGCAGGUAUAACUAUUUGCUUAAUGUCAAAUAAUUUCACUCAGGAUUGGAUCAUAGAUUUUGGUGCAACUCAUCACAUUAUAGCAGACAAUCGUUCACUCACAAAAAGUCAGGUGUUAGAUAAAUCACAGAAGAACCAGGUACACUUGCCUACAGGAGACAAGGUAGACAUUAGUCACAUUGGUGAGGCAUUUGUGUUUGAUGACAAGACAGUGAAGAAUGUUUUACAUGUUCCAGACUUCAAAUUCAGCCUAUUAUCAGUUUCAAAAAUCACAAGGGAAUUGUCUUGUUUUGUAUCAUUCUAUCCUGAUUUUUGUGUAUUUCAGGUCCUCUUCAGUGGCAAGGUGAAGGGGAUUGGUAAAGAAGAUGGAGGUUUAUACAUGUUCAACGGUAAAAUUCCCCCACACAAGCAAGAAGUUACAUGUCAGAAGAAUGUGAUUACUGCAGGAGCAAUAGUCAAAGAUGUUGAUCUGUGGCAUAGGAGGCUUGGACAUCCUUCUGUUCAAGUCCUGAAGAUUUUAAAACUAGUUCAUAACAAUAAAGACAGUGAAGUUCUUUCUAAAUGUUCAAUUUGUCCAUUAGCUAAGCAAACUAGACUUGCAUUCCCUAUCAGUAGCUCUAGAGCAUCUAUAAGUUUUGAUGUUGUUCACAUGGAUCUUUGGGGGGCCUAUAAGACCCCUACUAUGGAUAAGAAACAAUAUUUUCUAACAAUUGUAGAUGACUAUAGUAGAUUUGUAUGGACCUACCUGUUGCAAUUGAAACCUGAAACCAUUGUUGCCAUCAAAAAUUUCAUAUUAAUGGUCAAGACUCAAUUUGCUUCUCAUGUUAAAGUUGUGAGGUCUGAUAAUGGUGCUGAGUUCUUUAACUCUCAGAGCACAAAGUUAUUUCAGGAGCUAGCUAGACAUUCUACACCAAAGUAGUUGUCCUCACACACCUCAACAAAAUGGUGUGGUAGAGAGGAAACACAGACACAUUCUCAACAUUGCUAGAGCUAUCAGAUUCCAAUCACAUUUGCCUAUUAGAUUUUGGGGCUACUGUAUUAAGGCUGCUGUCUACUUAAUGAACAGGUUACCUUCAUCUUCCAUUUAGAACAAAAGUCCUUAUGAAAUGCUUUAUGCCAAACAACCUUUUGUCUCUCAUUUAAGGACAUUAGGCUGUCUUUGUCAUGCCUUAGUAUUGCCAAAAGGUGAUAAGUUUGCAGAAAGGUCUGUCCCUGCUAUUCUCAUAGGAUAUUCAGAGCUUUAAAAGGGAUAUAUAUUGCUGGACAUUAAAUACAAUAAGAUCUCUGUACAUAGAGAUGUGAUUUUUCAGGAGGAUGUUUUCCCUUUUGCACAAGUGAUGCCACAAACACAGUCACCAUUCACUGUUUUUAACUCUCCUUUAGAGUUGGAUACUACUCAUACUGAUACUGCUAGGGAUCCUCAUAUUGAAGACAGUAUUAUGUUGGAUAGUGAGGAUGUUCAGCAUGAUAAUGAGAUUUCAGAAGAUUUCACUUGUAAGAAUUCUCCAUUACAAGUUGUUUCUGAUCAGCCUCUUAUUGUGCCUACAGAUCCUCCCAUGAGAAGGACCACAAGAAGCACUAAAGAGCCUACUUGGAUGCAAGAUUAUACUACUGUUGGCAAGAAGCAAAGUAGUAUCAGGCAUCCUUUGAUUAAUUCUCUAUGUUAUGACAGCUUAACACCAUCUUAUAGAGGUUAUCUAAGUAAAGUGUCUGAUUCUGUGGAGCCCAAACACUUCAGACAAGCAGUCAAAGAUGAUAGAUGGAUACAUGCCAUGAAGCAAAAGAUACAAGCUCUUGAAGAUAACAAAACAUGGAUGGUAGUUGAUUUACCACCAGGGAUGCAUACAGUGGGAUCUAAAUGGGUGUAUAAGGUGAAAUAUAGAGCAAAUGGUGAGGUGGAAAGGUUCAAGGCCAGGCUGGUUGCUAAGGAUAUAGUCAAGGCAAGUAAGGAUUGGACUAUCAUGAUACUUUUUCACCAGUUGCAAAGAUGGUAACAGUUAGAUGUGUGAUUGCUCUAGCAGUGUCUAAAGGUUGGAAUCUCUCUCAAAUGGAUGUCUACAAUGCAUUUCUCCAAGGUGAUCUAGAUGAGGAGGUAUAUAUUGAGAUGCCUGAAGGUUUCAGAAAGCCAGGGGAGACGAAAGUUUGCAAGUUACUUAAGUCAUUAUAUGGGCUUAAACAAGACCUCUAGACUAAUGGAACUUAAAACUUACUACUGCCUUGUUAUCUGCUGGUUUCAAUCAGAGUGCACAUGAUUAUUCUCUUUUUACUCUUAAGAAAAAUGAAGGACUUGUCAUUAUCCUAGUCUAUGUUGAUGAUUUAUUAAUCACUGGCAACAAUGCUCAGAUGAUCACAGAAGCCAAGGAGAAUCUACAUCAACAUUUCAAGUUAAAAAAUCUAGGGGAGCUGAGAUAUUUUUUGGGAAUUGAAGUGUUAAGAUCCUCUAAGGUUGUUGUUUUGAAUCAAAGAAAGUAUGUUUUAGAACUUAUUUCUGAUGCAUGGCUCACGGGUGCUAAAACUGCUCUCACUCCUCUUGAAUCAAACCUCAGACUCACCUCAGUGGAAAAUGAUUUGGUGAAUGGGGUUACUGGAGAUGAGAUCCUUCAUGACAUCACAGCUUAUCAGAGAUUAGUUGGAAAGCUUCUUUAUGCCAAUAUCACUAGACCUGACAUUAGCUAUGCAGUACAAACUCUCAGUCAGUUCAUGCAGUCUCCUAAAAGGUCACAUUGGGAAGCAGCUACAAGAGUAGUAAGAUACUUGAAGGGAACAGUAGGCCAAGGUGUUUGGUUGCAAGCUAAACCUGCCACUAUGUUAACUUGUUGGUGUGACUCUGAUUGGGCUAGUUGUCCAAAUACUAGAAGGUCUAUUACAGGUUAUGUGGUGAAGUUUGGUGAUUCCUUGGUGUCCAGGAAGUCUAAAAAAUAACACACUGUCUCUAGGAGCUCAGCUGAGGCCGAAUACAGGAGCAUGGCUUCAGCUGUAUCUGAGCUCACCUGGUUGUUGGGAUUAUUUACUGAGUUAGGAGUUCCUAUUCAGGUGCCUGUGACUCUUUUUAGUGACAGUAAGUCAGCCAUUCAGCUUGCAGCUAAUUCCGUCUUCCAUGAAAGGACUAAGCAUAUUGAAAUUGACUGUCAUUUUAUCAGAGACAAGAUCAAAGCAGGGGUAAUAGACACUGUACAUGUUCCUACUCAACAUCAAGUUGCAGACCUUUUGAACCAAAGGAUUGCCUCAAGCUCAACAUUUGCAUCUUCUCAGCAAGCUUGGUGUGCUUAAUGUCAUGCACCCUUCAGCUUGAGGGGGUGUGUUCAAAUACAAAUUAGUUCAUUAGUCAGUUAACUAAUUAACACUGUUAGUUAACACUGUUUGCACUAGUUAGUUAACGGAUUAGUUGGUUGCUCAACUAUGAGCUAUCAAUAAUUAGUUAGUUUGUUAUCUCAAUUCCUAGCUAUAAAAGCACAAGUUAAGAGUCACACUUUAUAUGUUGUUGCAGUAAAACAUCAAUAAAAUUCUCUCCUUUCUUCUUCAGUUUUCUGUCUAGAUUCAUCAAUGAACUGAUGAGCUGAUUUGCUCACAGUUUUCACACACAUAAUUAUACCCACUAUAAUCAUAUUGAAUAUGCACUUUUUAUUUUAAUUUUUUGUUGCUUUUUCUCUGUUUUAUUUAUUUACAUUUCAAACCCCUUCUGGAAGAUGAGCUGUAAAUAUCUUGUCCUAGAGCCGACAAAAGCCCUUCUCUACUAGAAAUCACAAUUUUAUUUUAUUUUUAAAUUGAUAAUAAUCACAUCUCUCUUUAUCCGAGAUUGAUGUUUCAUUAAUAUAAUUGUUGCAUAUAAUUACAUGUUCUUAAAUUAUUUCUAGCUGAAUACAUAUUGGAUUUCUGAUUUUGAAUAUGUCCAAGUUUUAAUUAGUCAUGUUAAGUGACCUGGGAGAGGAAAUGUGAUGUUAUUUCCUAAAUCCUAAUAUAACUUGAACAAUCUCAAUUUCAUCAUUUAAGUUAAUACUCUCUUCCGUUUUUUUUUAGUAGUUAUUAUUUUCUUUUUUAGAAUCAAACGAUAAGAAUUAAUUACUUCCUUGUGAACGUAGCUUUGAUUUCAAAACCAAAUAGCCCAAAGGUAUGCUUUACUUUCUGAUUGUAGUUUUUAAAUCGAACAUUACAAAUGUGUUUACACUUUUUUUUUAAAAAGAAAUUAAUUAUUAGAGUAAAAUGAUAAAAAACAAACAAACUAAUUCUAUCUUGUAUUUAUAAAUGAAUAAAUAAUUUAAGAUCACUACUUUUUUUAAUAAUAAUUUAUAAUAAUAUGAUACAGAUAUAACAGUAAUUAAAUAGUACCACAAUUCUUCAAUAAAAUAAAAUUUUAAUAAGCAAUCAAGUGCAUCAGUAAAAUAUUGUAAGUGUGAUGUUUCUUCCAAUAGAGGUUCAAGUAGACGACCAACGUAAAAAGUAAAGGAGUUGCUUUACAACCCACUAAAUGUAACAAAAAUAAUUAUAAACAGAUAUUAGUAAAGUAAUAAAAAAGAGAAAGCCCACAGAUUAAACACUAUAACAUGGUUCCACUUAUGAACAUAAAGUCAAUUUUGCUUUAGGAAAAUUGGUGGAAUUAUCAUAUUGAUUCAUUAUUGCCUGGGCCAUUAAUUUCUCUGACAUAGUACUAUAGUCCUGGCAACAAUUAGAGUUUGGAGUAUUUUGACAAAAUAACAAAUCAGGGUGGAUAUGUUAAUUAGACUGUGUAAAUGAAUUUCCAAGUUAACUAAUUUUCCCAUUCUACAUGAAAUUAACUUUAAUUAGCAAGUUUUCAUUUUCAACCUUGGAUAGUAAAUACUCUCCAAUUAUUUUUAUUUGUUCAUUAUUUUAAAAAUAGAAUUUUCAUUUUUAUUUCUCACUUUUAACAUAUCAAAAAAGGAUAAUUAUUUACUUUCAUAUUUUACCCUUAGCAUUAAUUGCAUAUUUAAUAAUCAUUUCUCAAAAUGUAAUACUCCCUCAGUUUCUAUUUACUUGUCCAUUUAUUUUACUUGACAUACAUAUUAAGAAAAUAAUAAUUGAUACAAUGAGGUUACCAUUUUACUCCUAUUAAUUGAUACAAUUCCAAAAUCAAUUUACUCAUUCAAAAUGUUCUACCUUUUUCAAAAAUAUUAACUCUCUAAAUAAAUUAAGAGUAUAAUAGGUAAAAAAAUAUCUUGAUUUGUUAAAAAUAACAAAUAAAAUGUCAAUAUUAGAUAAGUAAAAAGGGACAGACGGCCAAGUAAAAAUGUAUAUUAUAGUAAAAUAUCCCCUUCAAUCAUGGUUUUUAAAGGCAUGCAUGAUCCGAAAUGAACAAGUAAAAAUAAUCUGAAGAAUAUUAUGUACUCAGGCAGUGGAGGAGCCACCUUACAAUGAGGGGUUCAUUUGAAUCCCCUUCGGCGGAAAUUAUAUGAUUUAUACAUGGUUAAAAUAAUUUUUUAGGUAUAUAUAGUAGAUGUCGAACCUUCUUCGGCUACUUUGUGUGUCUAUUUUUUUAGAUUUUGAACCCCCUUAUUGAAAAUUCUGGCUCCGCCACUGUACUCAGAUAAUGGAAAAAUUACUUGGAUGAAUACUUUUUAAUAAAUAAUUACUUAUUUUAGCGAUACUUUUUAUCUAUUACCAUUUAUAGCAAUACAUAACAAUUAUAUGUUAAAUUUGCAAUAUGUAUUAAAAGUGGAUUAUGUAUGCAAUAUAUAUGUAUUAUAAUUGUUUUUAAAAAAAUAUAUUAUGUUUUUUUGGUAAGAAAUUGACACAUUGUAUUAUAAGUGUAUUAAAUGUGUGAUAAAUGUAUUAUUUAUCAAUAAAAAUGGUAUUAUAUAUGAAUAAUAAAUUAUUAUAUAUUAAAACUGUAUUAUAAAUAUAUUAAAAGUGAUCAAGUGAAAAAACAAUAUUAUUACUAUAAAUGAUAAAUAUUUUUUUAAUAUAGUAUAUUUAUGUAAGUUUCCCUCAGAUAAUCUACUUCUUUGGCCGAAAGAAAGGAAUGAUUUUUAACUUGCUAACCUACUCCAUGUUACCUUUUACCUUUUGCUCUUCUUAUUCUUGAGCAAAUAACUACUCCCACCAUUUCAAAAAGAAUGGUCUCCUUUGCUUUUUAGUCUGUUUAAAAAAGGAUAAUUUUUUUUUUGUUUUAGUAACAUUUUAAUUUUAGCUUUCCACGUGACAUGUUUAAAAUCAUAAGAUUAAAUAACAAUUUUAUACAUUUGACAUAACUUUAAUUUAGGAUCACAAAAUUCAAAAGUCUUCUUUAUUUUCUUAAACUAUGUGUCAAGUCAAAACUAGAUCAUUCUUUGUAAAACGGAAGGAGUAGGAGAGAAGGUUGUAACAAGUAGCCGACAAUCAAAUUAAAGAGAGAAAAAUUGUGGAACCACUUGAAAAUUGUAUACCGUAAUCAAGAAACAAACGGGUAUCAUCACAUUAAUAAUUUUCAUAAUUACAUAAAAAGAGAAAAUUAAGAGAAAGAAAAUCCCGGGACAGAAUGGAAACCAAAAAUUAAUUUGCAGUAUUCAAAGCUCCCAAUCUGCACGUAUUUCUAUAUAUAAUUACUGCCAUGAUCUAAUUAAAAAAAAGAAGAAAACAUUAAGCAAAAGCAGAUGCAGCCUCUCUUCUCAGAUCUCUGUAGAAUCGAGAAAUGAAUUCAUCAGCUUUCUCAUCAACGUGGCUAAUCAUGUCACCAUUAUCAUCAGCUUCUCUUAGUGGGAAAGGCGAGUCAGUGAUUCUUAAUUGCCUCACCGUUGGAGUCCUUCCGAAUCCAGGCAAAGCAGGUGAUGCUGUUUCGCUCUGAAGGAUUUCUAAUGCCUUCAAAACAGCAGCGUUCAUCAUUGAAACGUCGUCGUGUUCAGGCUGACUAAUGCGCUUGUUGGUGUUGAAGGGGAGGUGAAAAGCAGGGCUGUUACUGCAGCUGAACUCGUAAUACUCUUUUGAAGUUGAUUGAUGAAUAUUAUUAUGGCCCUGGAACAUCAGAUUUUGGAAGGCAGCUUUUCCAGCAAUCUUACCACGUUUCAUUAAUAAAUUGAGAUCGAACAUUAGUUUCCUCUUUGAUGAUAAUCCUUUCCUCAACAUGAAGUAAGCCACGCGGACUAUCUUCCAGAACUUUUUCGCUAUAACUGGCAAUUUUUGAUCCAUUUUUUCUCUCUAAUUAAGUACUCUCUUUAUAUAUUCACGAGCAGUUUUU